AUACAGAGGGUGCAAGCGUUAAUCGGAUUUACUGGACGUAAAGCGCGCGUAGGUGGCUAAUUAAGUCAAAUGUGAAAUCCCCGAGCUUAACUUGGGAAUUGCAUUCGAUACUGGUUAGCUAGAGUAUGGGAGAGGAUGGUAGAAUUCCAGGUGUAGCGGUGAAAUGCGUAGAGAUCUGGAGGAAUACCGAUGGCGAAGGCAGCCAUCUGGCCUAAUACUGACACUGAGGUGCGAAAGCAUGGGGAGCAAACAGGAUUAGAUACCCUGGUAGUCCAUGCCGUAAACGAUGUCUACUAGCCGUUGGGGCCCUUGAGGCUUUAGUGGCGCAGCUAACGCGAUAAGUAGACCGCCUGGGGAGUACGGUCGCAAGACUAAAACUCAAAUGAAUUGACGGGG
rnacentral:rRNA from 1 species